GACGAACGCUGGCGGCGUGCUUAACACAUGCAAGUCGAACGGAAAGGCCCUGCUUGCAGGGUACUCGAGUGGCGAACGGGUGAGUAACUCGUGGGUGAUCUGCCCUGCACUUCGGGAUAAGCCUGGGAAACUGGGUCUAAUACCGGCUAGGAGCCAUUUUUAGUGUGAUGGUUGGAAAGUUUUUUCGGUGUAGGAUGAGCUCGCUGCCUAUCAGCUUGUUGGUGGGGUAAUGGCCUACCAAGGCGGCUGCGGGUAGCCGGCCUGAGAGGGUGGACGGCCACAUUGGGACUGAGAUACGGCCCAGACUGCUACGGGAGGCAGCAGUGGGGAAUAUUGCACGAUGGGCGCAAGCCUGAUGCAGCGACGCCGCGUGGGGGAUGACGGCCUUCGGGUUGUAAACUCCUUUCGCUAGGGACGAAGCUUUUUGUGACGGUACCUAGAGAAGAAGCACCGGCUAACUACGUG
rnacentral:rRNA from 1 species